UUUCCGGUUGAUCCUGCCGGACCUGACUGCUAUCGGAUUGAUACUAAGCCAUGCGAGUCAUUGUAGCAAUACAAGGCAGACGGCUCAGUAACGCGUAGUCAACCUAACUAUGGACGGGAAUAACUCGGGAAACUGAGAAUAAUGCCCGAUAGAACACUAUACCUGGAAUGGUUUGUGUUCCAAAUGAUUUAUCGCCUGUAGGAUGGGACUGCGGCCUAUCAGUUUGUUGGUGAGGUAAUGGCCCACCAAGACUAUUACAGGUACGGGCUCUGAGAGGAGUAGCCCGGAGAUGGGUACUGAGACACGGACCCAGGCCUAUGGGGCGCAGCAGGCGNNAAAACUUUGCAAUGUGCGAAAGCACGACAAGGUUAAUCCGAGUGAUUUGUGCUAAACGAAUCUUUUGUUAGUCCUAGAAACACUAACGAAUAAGGGGUGGGCAAGUCUGGUGUCAGCNNNGCGGUAAAACCAGCACCUCAAGUGGUCAGGAUGAUUAUUGGGCCUAAAGCAUCCGUAGCCGGCUCUGUAAGUUUUCGGUUAAAUCUGUACGCUUAACGUACAGGCUGCCGGGAAUACUGCAGAGCUAGGGAGUGGGAGAGGUAGACGGUACUCGGUAGGAAGGGGUAAAAUCCUUUGAUCUAUUGAUGACCACCUGUGGCGAAGGCGGUCUACCAGAACACGUCCGACGGUGAGGGAUGAAAKCUKGGGGAGCAAACCGGAUUAGAUACCCGGGUAGUCCCACGUGUAAACUAUGCAACUCAGUGAUGCAUUGACUUGUGGUCAAUGCAGUGCUGCAGGGAAGCCGUUAAGUUUGCCGCCUGGGAAGUACGUACGCAAGUAUGAAACUUAAAGGAAUUGGCGGGGGAGCACCACAAGGGGUGAAGCUGCGGUUCAAUUGGACUCAACGCCG
rnacentral:rRNA from 1 species